rnacentral:misc_RNA from 1 species
GAUGAAGAACGGAGCGAAAUGCGAUACGUAAUGUGAAUUGCAGAAUUCAGUGAAUCAUCGAAUCUUUGAACGCAUAUUGCGCUCUCUGGUAUUCCGGAGAGCAUGCUUGUUUGAGUAUCAGUAAACACCUCAACUCCCUUUUCUUUUUUGAAAUUGGAGCUGGACUUGAGUGAUCCCAACGCUUUCUUCCAAGAAAGUGGCGGGUUGCUUGAAAUGCAGGUGCAGCUGAACUUUUCUCUGAGCUAUAAGCAUAUCUAUUUAGUCUGCCUAAAAAACAGAUUAUUACCUUUGCUGCAGCUAACAUAAAGGAGACUAGUUCUUGUGCUGACUGAUGCAGGAUUCACAGAGACAGCUUCGGCUGACUUUGUAAACUCGAUCUCAAAUCAAGUAAGACUACCCGCUGAACUUAAGCAUAUCAAUAAGCGGAGGA